AUGUCAUAUCCUGUCCAUUUGUUCGCAGUGACCUUGGCAAACAAAACAAAUAGUUGAAUUUGAUUUCUUUCAUAUCACACAUUAAAGUGAAUUUGGUUUAUAUGUCUGAUAUGGCUACGCGGAUACUUACACAUGAUGUCAUGUGAUCACAGAUGAAAGAAGAGGGCCUUUACACUUUUAAACUUCAAACUAUAUCUAUAUCCGUCCCUGUACCCUGUCCACCCUACACAACGUCAAUGUUGGGAAAAAAACACCUCUCUCUAUCAUCCUCAAUUUGAAAACCGAAACACCCAUCUGGCAAUCAAAAACAUGUAUUUUGCGAAAACAUCAUGCCGUCGAAAAGUGGACUUUUUCAUGUUGCAGCUGGAAUUGGAAUCCUCUAUUUUGCAAAUCCAACACUGUUUUGCUUUUUCCGGGUAAUUACAGGGUAACCUUGCAAAACAAUCUUGAGAACAAUCAAAAAAUCGUAACUUUGCUGACCAGGGUCGGAAGAGGGAAAUCAGGCACAGAGUCCUGCUAAUUAUCCUGUGGUGUUUACUCGGCCUAGCACGCUAAUCAACCUCUGCUCUAAUGUAACGCCUCUCCCUUUCUCCAGCUGUCUUGCCUCCGUCACUGGUUCUGCUCCUGGCUCUUGUCCUCUUCUGAAUGAGUUUUUGACAUUAGUUCCGUUCACCAAGUCAAAGGCUGUUGAUUAUAUAAGUCUACUAAGCUGCUUUCACUGUGGCCGAGGUGGCCAGAGAGACAGCCUUCCCCCCACUUCUCUAUCGCGGGCUUACCUUCCCCCCCCUGCUUGCUCUCUCUUCCCCUCUCUUUGCUAUUAUUAUAGUAUAUACAAGAAUAUUGUGGAAGACAGAGGAAGGGAUGGGAGAGAUGGAUCAGAGAGAGAUGGAGGUUGCCAUGGACUGUAACACAGGGUGUGUGUGUGUGUGUGUGUGUGUGUGUGUGUGUGUGUGUGUGUGUGUGUGUGUGUGUGUGUGUGUGUGUGUGUGUGUGUGUGUGUGUGUGUGUGUGUGUGUGUGUGUGUGUGUGUGCGCGCGCGUGUGUGACGUGUGUGUGUGUCAGAGGGAGAGUGUCUGUCACCUGCUGUCAAUAUGCCCUGCAGGAUGGAGGUGGGGGGUGGGGUUAUGGGGAAUUGACAUUGCAUCCAUUUCCUGGCUAAAUGGAUGCCUUUUGGGGGUCAGGACCUCAUCCUGUUGGCUAUGAACAGAGUUCCCUAUCAGCAGGGACAUAUGUUGCUUCGCUAGAGUACAAUUUGCGUCUUACCCAAUCUGAUUUUUGCCAGAGAGGCAAACUCCCAAAGCUGGACGUAAAAGCUCUCUUAGUUAUUCCAGCCACCGUCAAAGUAUUGGAUCUGUGGUGGCUGCCCAGGAGAUAAUAAAAAAAAAAAAGACAUUUGGAAACCCAUUAAAAAGUAGCCCGAUCCAAA